UGUGUAAGGGGCAUUAAGGAAUCUAUAUUGUUGCACUAUACGCUAACUUGCAUAUAAAGUCAAGAAAAUAAAUAUAAACAAAAAAAGAAGAUCCAGACGCUUGGGGGACAUUCCCUCCGGGCCGCUCUCUUCUGGGGCUGAGCUGGAGCCAUCCUGUGGACAGAGCUUGUGUCCCCAGACCUCCACAGUCCCCACUGCUCCCUAAGCUCCCCCUGCCUCUCCAGACUCGGCCCCUGGAGUCAUCUGAGUUUGCUGUCCUCCCUGCUGCCUCAUGGAGCUUCACCUCCUCAUCUGGGCAUGAGCCACAGCCAUGUCAGCCUGCCCCAGUCCCUGGCCAGGGGUCUCAAUGGGCUGAGAAGGUAGCCCUCAAGGCCGGCCCUGCAGAGGCAGCUGAGAAGGGGAGGAGGUGGGCCAGGCGUUGGGAACAAGGGCUCUGGGAAGUGUCCCCAAGGUAUGCCACGGCUUCUGACUUCCCAAGAUCCACCCUAACAGUCCCUCAUACGGCCCUCCAUCAGGCAUUUGCAGACCCCAGCCAGCGGGUGUCUGUGGUCCCAAGGUCAACACUGAGGGCACACAGCAGCAGACGCCCGGCCCAACGCUCCAGUUCUGGCAUGUAUAGCUCAUGUAUGGCACAUGUGCUCAUGUAUAGCACAGCAUCCUGUGAGGUGGCUGUGGCCAGGCCCACUUGCAGGGAGACAAGGGGCUUGCCCGAGGUCAUGCACACUAAUAGGGGUUAGAACCUCAGUCUGCCAGUCUAUAAAGCUGCCCCUCAAAAAGCAGACCAUGUCCCCAGGAGACUGGUCAUCAGGCAGUUACAAUCAGGUGAUUUGAGUAUAGAUGGGGUGAGUGUGUCAGGGUGGGGCGUGGGCAGUGGGCAGGCAGGGUCGGAAGAGCAGAGUCCUGAAGGGGGAGGGGCUUUGCUAGGUGCUGAGGACCCAGCUUGUGCAAAGGCCCAGGGGUGGGAUGCAAUGGGGGCGACAGGGCUCGCAUGCUAAGGCAGGAGCAGCGAGGUGGGACAGAAGGUGACGCUGGGUGCACUCACCCCCAUGUGUGGAAGCCCCCAGAUUCCCCCCUCCUCCCGGCUUCACCCACGUCCUGGCAGCCCUGUCUCCACGUCUCCAUCUGUCUCCUGCCCCGAGGCCCGGCCCCCUAGCCGUCUCCUCAGCAUCCUGAGCUUCCACACUGUCCUGUCUUGGCUCAGACACAACAGAUGGAUUCCCGCCCUUGAAGUGAUAAUUAGUUUCUCAUUACCGAGAGGUACCAUCCUGACAUGUCCUCAAAGUUUAAAAUAAAUUAAAGUUGGAAAAAAAACCCCAGACUGUUAAUGGUGUAAAUGAGCACGGAAGUAAGAGAAGGUCCCUCAGCUCCUAUUAAUGAUGGAGCCCUUCUGGUCCUAGAGAGAGGGAGGAGGUGGGCUUGACCCACAGGUGGCCUGUGUCUAUUCAGUAUUCUAUCUACCAUCACAUUUUUCUCAGCCCGUUUCUGCAUCUGGCCCAGAGCCCUUAGAGAGCUCACGGACUGGAGAGGAACCAGGGUGAUCACAGCCCUGUGCCGGAGGGGGUCUCGGUGAGGCCAGAGGGGGCUGUGGAAGGCGGUGGGAAUCAAGAAGGGCUUCGAGGAGGAGGGUCUCCCAGGAUGAGCCAUCAUCUGGCCACAGGGAAGCAAUGGGAACACAUGAUGAUGAGUAAGUGAAUGAACGAAUGAACGAAUGAACAAAUGGGUGCCCAUCCAACAGAGAGCAAGGAGGAGCAGCCAGCCCAGGCCCGGGUGGAAACGCGAGGCACCCUGAGUGGGAGGGCUGUAGUGUGAUAACUGCCACACACCUGUCCCUAUGGCCCUCUCCCUGCCACACCUAGCCUGAGCCGGCUGCAUGGGAGCCCUGCUCUGUCCUCUGCUCCGGGACACUGCUCAUCAUUCCUAGCAACAUCCCCCAGGGUGGCCUCAGUAUCCCCACGUGUACUUGUACCUGCCCCCUGGGGGUUGGCUGAGUUCAACAGAUUGAUAACGCAGACUCGGGCUAAUUAGCUAGAAAGGUGAAACCAAGGAGUACCGAAUGCACAAAAUACAGACUCGAGACAAAGCUAAGAUUCCACACUAAUAAUUAAGACACGGGCAUCCCGCUGCGGCCUCAGGGCCUUUGCACUUGCUCCUCUCGCAACCUGGAACUCUGCCCAGUGCAUCACUUGCUCCCGAAACACCUUUAGGAACUGCGUCCAACAUCCUUCCUGAUUUUAUUUUUCUCCACUCUAUACACCGCCACCUGAUUUCGCGUACACGUCAUUUCUUUUUUUUUCCAUCUCUCCCACUAGACCGUUGGCUACAUGAGAAUGGAGACCCCUGCUGGCUUGAGCCACCGCUGUGCCCUGGUGUCCGGAACCAGCCCGGCAUGCGAGGGCCUCAGUGAAUGUGCCCCGGAAACCACAAGUAAGGCGCCUGUCACAAUUGUCCCUCCUCCUGGGGUUUCUUCACAUGGCCCUGCACAGUGUGGCGUGCCCCUUCCUCCUGGGAACCGGGCUUUUCGGGGAGUGUGGUCUUACUGGAACACUCUCCUGUCGAUUGAGCAGGCUGCCACCCUCUAGCCCCGGCCACUCUGUGGGGAGGAGAGCGCCUGCCCUUUGGCUGCAAGUUGGUACCCUGGCCGGGAUGGUAAUGAGAUCCAGAAACUUGAUGUCCUGUCUUCACUCCUGUCCUUAGACAACGUUGUCUGCGUAGGGCAUGGGACAGCCACCUAAGCCACGAAGCCUAAGACUCCCAAGUGAGGUUUCCUCGUCAGGGGUCUAAGGCGAUCCCCUCCACAACUCUGGACUAGCCACCUCUGGCCGCAACAGCUCCACUGGGAGACAGCGGGAACCAGUACCUGAGUGAAUUAAAACCCAACUGGGGACCGUUCCCUAGGGGAGUUGCUUGUGAAGACUCUAUGGGUGGGACUGUCACUUGGACCAUGAUGGAUUUCCACCUGUGCUGCUUUCUGUCAAUGUCCUCUACUAACUACUACUGAAAUUACAAAACUGGGCAAUUGA